rnacentral:rRNA from 1 species
GACGAACGCUGGCGGCGUGCUUAACACAUGCAAGUCGAACGAUGAAGCCCUUUCGGGGGUGGAUUAGUGGCGAACGGGUGAGUAACACGUGGGUAACCUGCCCUGUACCCUGGGAUAAGCCUUGGAAACGAGGUCUAAUACCGGAUAUGACCUGCUCUCGCAUGGGGUGGGUGGAAAGUUUUGGCGGUGCAGGAUGGACCCGCGGCCUAUCAGCUUGUUGGUGGGGUGAUGGCCUACCAAGGCGACGACGGGUAGCCGGCCUGAGAGGGCGACCGGCCACACUGGGACUGAGACACGGCCCAGACUCCUACGGGAGGCAGCA